GUUUCAGUUGCCAGCCAAUCCCUGUCCUCUAGUCUAUCCAUUUGUUAUAAAUACAUGUCCCUGCUUAUUUUUUUAGGCUACAUAUUUAAGGAAAUGAUAGUAAAAACUAACAACUAUCUCUUUGGCAUUUGUUUGAAAACUUUCCUAAGUUUCCAGUAAGUGAUGAUAGACAUUUAUCCCUAAGUCAUGCUUUUCAGUACAGCAGUGAAUAAUCUCCCUGUGUCUGCUGUAUAUGCAAAUGAAACUGCAACAAUUAAUAAACACUCUGUGUAUUCUUCAUAUACUUUUGGUGUGUUCAAUCAUUUCGUUUCUUAAGUUGUAGGCACCUAAAGUUUGGCUUGUAUGCAUUUGCUAUGCUGCUAAGAUCAUACAGUCCCCAUCGUCUGCAAUCUGAGAUACCUAUGAGGUUUUAAUUUAGUGAGAUCCCCAUUCUUGUGCAUUUUAUCCUUUCCCAGAUGUACCAAGACUGAAGACAAAAAAUGUGAAUUCAACAAGAAUUUUCAUCUCAUCCUUCACACUAAUCUGGCUAACCCUCACUUGCAAGCCAGAACUGCCUGUUCAGACCACCUUCAUUAAUUUCACUGUCACCAGGGACAGGCUGGAAGACCAGCUGUUGCCUGAGGUUGUUAAUGCUGAAAGGCAAGACUCACAGAAAACAUAAGCCUGAAAGAAGUUGUCACAUAUUCAACCUAUCUUUUCACAAGCCAAGGAUUUUUGAAAAUUAUAAGCCCAUUUUCCUGGUCCAAAUGGCUUUUCAGGUGAG
rnacentral:lncRNA from 1 species